rnacentral:piRNA from 1 species
UGAGUCAAUUUAUUUGUGUCUCUGG